GUUUAGCUCUCGUAGGGCGCUACAGUACAGCUGAAUGGAUGGGAUUGUUUUGUUUUUAUCUGUAAGGUGUUUUCUUGUUCGCGAGUUACUUAUGGAUUUUACGUAUUAUUUUGUAGUAAAUUUUCAAUUUUUUAACGUAUAUGCAAAAUCAAUUUGUAGUGUAGUUCAUAGAGACGUUUUUCGAAGUGUAUUUCGAUCUGUCGACCUGAUAUUUACAUCGUAACGAACUUUUUCCAAGGACAUCUAACUGAACUGCUGGUUAUCUCUACGUAAAGAUACAUAUUAUUGAAUUUUGAAGUUGCCGAUUAAUAUUGAAAAAUGUCUCGAUUUAGAGGAGUUAACUCGUUGUCUAGGAAUUUUCGUGAUGCUAGAGCUCCAGGGACGGCCGAAGAUGGCAUCUUCAGUUUCCUCUUCAAAGACCUCCGUGACGAGUUAAAAGGUAUAAGGGAAUGCUAUGAUAAGGCGAACGCAAAUUACGCGCUACUCAGUAAUCAAAUUGCGUUAGCAGAAAAAGCCAGGCAAGAAGAUUAUCGUCAUAUUUGUCAACAUUUAUCCAGAUCCCAACUGGGUAUUUACAUCUUGUGUGUGGGAUGCUCGCUAAUUUUCGUCGAAAGUUUUAUCGGGUGGAAAGAAGUAGCAUACUCUUUCAUAAGGCAAAUGAGACAUGAUUUACCUGUAUUGAAGAAAAUAAGAAAGGAAUAGUGUUUCAGGAAAAAUUAUCUCCGAUGUAAUCUACCUACCUACGUUAUAAAUUUUUUAUUAUUAUUUACGUUUUAUGUAAAAAGAAACCUAUCUGUGUGGCCGGAAAUGUAUUGUGUUCAUUGGUACAAUUUUUUAAAUUAUCUUGUAAAUAACUGUUACGAAUUAAUAAAAAUUAUGUGUUACUUCA